AAGGGGCUGUUCUCCAGCUCUGGGGGUUUAAGAGAGAAUUGGAGGGUCCCAGCCACAGACCCGUUUGCCUCAGGAAGCCAAGCUCAUCUGGAUUCCCACCAUGGCCUGGGCCCCUCUACUCCUCACGCUGCUCACGUACUGCUCUGGUGCCAGUUCACAGCUGGCGUUGACUCAGCCGUCUGCAGAGUCAGUGACUCCAGGCCAAACGGCUAAACUCUCCUGUGCCAUGAGCAGUGGGUACAGCAUUGGCAGUUACAAUGUACGCUGGUAUCAACAGAAGCCUGGCCAAGCCCCUCGCUUUGUGCUAUAUGGUACCAGCAGCAGAGGCGAUGGGAUCCCAGAUCGGUUCACUGGCUCUAAAGACUCCUCCAGUAACACCGGCUAUUUAACCAUCUCCGGGGCCCUGGCAGAGGAUGAGGCUGAUUAUUACUGUGCUGUGUGGCACAGCAGUGCUGCUCACAGUGACACAGACAGAUGGGGAAGUGAGAAAAAACCUCCUGGUUAA